AGAAAGCUUGCUUUCUUGCUGACGAGUGGCGGACGGGUGAGUAAUGCUUGGGAAUCUGGCUUAUGGAGGGGGAUAACGACGGGAAACUGUCGCUAAUACCGCGUAGUGUCGAGAGACGAAAGUGCGGGACUGAGAGGCCGCAUGCCAUAGGAUGAGCCCAAGUGGGAUUAGGUAGUUGGUGGGGUAAGGGCCUACCAAGCCUGCGAUCUCUAGCUGGUCUGAGAGGAUGACCAGCCACACUGGAACUGAGACACGGUCCAGACUCCUACGGGAGGCAGCAGUGGGGAAUAUUGCGCAAUGGGGGGAACCCUGACGCAGCCAUGCCGCGUGAAUGAAGAAGGCCUUCGGGUUGUAAAGUUCUUUCGGUAUUGAGGAAGGUUGAUGUGUUAAUAGCACAUCAAAUUGACGUUAAAUACAGAAGAAGCACCGGCUAACUCCGUGCCAGCAGCCGCGGUAAUACGGAGGGUGCGAGCGUUAAUCGGAAUAACUGGGCGUAAAGGGCACGCAGGCGGUUAUUUAAGUGAGGUGUGAAAGCCCCGGGCUUAACCUGGGAAUUGCAUUUCAGACUGGGUAACUAGAGUACUUUAGGGAGGGGUAGAAUUCCACGUGUAGCGGUGAAAUGCGUAGAGAUGUGGAGGAAUACCGAAGGCGAAGGCAGCCCCUUGGGAAUGUACUGACGCUCAUGUGCGAAAGCGUGGGGAGCAAANCAGGAUUAGAUACCCUGGUAGUCCACGCUGUAAACGCUGUCGAUUUGGGGGUUGGGGUUUAACUCUGGC
rnacentral:rRNA from 1 species